rnacentral:lncRNA from 1 species
UUAAAAAUAACACGAUUAUACCCCACGUGUAAAAUAAUUAGAGAGUACAACUUCCAUCUAAAUAAGAAAGAAGAGUCCAUUCUCUUCAAAAAAAAAAAAAAAAAAGAAAAGAAAACUUUGAAUCUCUUCUCAUUGAAGCAACAAAUACCAAAUCCAAGCAAUGAUCUCUUUUCAAAACCGUAAUUCUUGGAAACUCCAAAAUAUCAUAAAAGAAAACCCAACCAUAAAUAAAACCAAUUCAUGGGUAAAAAAUCAAACCUC